UACAGAGGGUGCAAGCGUUGUUCGGAAUUACUGGGCGUAAAGCGUGCGUAGUCGGUAUUGAGAGUCGCGGGUGAAAGUCCAGGGCUCAACCCUGGAAUGCCGGUGGAAACUGUCGGGCUAGAGUCCGGAAGAGGCGAGUGGAAUUCCUGGUGUAGCGGUGAAAUGCGCAGAUAUCAGGAGGAACACCAAUGGCGAAGGCAGCUCGCUGGGACGGUACUGACGCUGAGACGCGAAAGCGUGGGGAGCAAACAGG
rnacentral:rRNA from 1 species